UGCAUGUCUAAGUAUAAGCAAUUAUACAGCGAAACUGCGAAUGGCUCAUUAUAUAAGUUAUCGUUUAUUUGAUAGUACCUUACUACUUGGAUAACCGUGGUAAUUCUAGAGCUAAUACAUGCUAAAAAUCCCGACUUCGGAAGGGAUGUAUUUAUUAGAUUAAAAACCAAUGCCCUCUGGGCUCCUUGGUGAUUCAUAAUAACUUUUCGAAUCGCAUGGCCUUGCGCCGGCGAUGGUUCAUUCAAAUUUCUUCCCUAUCAACUUUCGAUGUUUGGGUAUUGGCCAAACAUGGUCGCAACGGGUAACGGAGGGUUAGGGCUCGACCCCGGAGAAGGAGCCUGAGAAACGGCUACUACAUCCAAGGAAGGCAGCAGGCGCGCAAAUUACCCAAUCCCGAUUCGGGGAGGUAGUGACAAUAAAUACUGAUACAGGGCUCUUUUGGGUCUUGUAAUUGGAAUGAGUACAAUUUAAAUCCCUUAACGAGGAACAAUUGGAGGGCAAGUCUGGUGCCAGCAGCCGCGGUAAUUCCAGCUCCAAUAGCGUAUAUUAAAGUUGUUGUGGUUAAAAAGCUCGUAGUUGAACCUUGGGCCUGGCUGGCCGGUCCGCCUCACCGCGUGUACUGGUCCGGCCGGGCCUUUCCCUCUGUGGAACCUCAUGCCCUUCACUGGGUGUGGCGGGGAAACAGGACUUUUACUUUGAAAAAAUUAGAGUGCUCCAGGCAGGCCUAUGCUCGAAUACAUUAGCAUGGAAUAAUAAAAUAGGACGUGUGGUUCUAUUUUGUUGGUUUCUAGGACCGCCGUAAUGAUUAAUAGGGACAGUCGGGGGCAUCAGUAUUCAAUUGUCAGAGGUGAAAUUCUUGGAUUUAUUGAAGACUAACUACUGCGAAAGCAUUUGCCAAGGAUGUUUUCAUUAAUCAGGAACGAAAGUUAGGGGAUCGAAGACGAUCAGAUACCGUCGUAGUCUUAACCAUAAACUAUG
rnacentral:rRNA from 1 species